ACGCUCGACACCUACGGGGGCAGCAGUGGGGAAUAUUGCACAAUGGGGGAAACCCUGAUGCAGCAACGCCGCGUGAAGGAAGACGGUUUUCGGAUUGUAAACUUCUGUUCUUAGUGAAGAUAGUGACGGUAGCUAAGGAGCAAGCCACGGCUAACUACGUGCCAGUAGCCGCGGUAAUCUGAGCGGGCUGGCAAGGC
rnacentral:rRNA from 1 species